UUUCAGGCACCUAUCGAAGCCGUCGUCGUUCUUGUGUAGCAGGUCAAAAGGUAGCCAAAAACAUUUCUUUGACCGACGGUCGCUGUGCAGUUUGACCGUAAUUAACUCAGCAACAUUAACGGGAAGGACAUAA
ensembl:snoRNA